UACCAAACCGCUUCUAACAUUUACAGGCCU
rnacentral:piRNA from 1 species